AGUAACAUGAGAAACAAGCUGAGAUUGGCCAGUGACACCACAUGGCAGACUGGGCAGCAUGCCAAGACAGGUUUUACAUCCCACUGGACCUGACUAGGAUUUAAUAAUUAUUUUCAGGUGAAUCUAAAAAGCAGCACUACCAAGUCUAGGAGGAUUGCAGAUGAUGAAAUGGAAGCGCUAAGCACUUAAGUCACUUACUUCAGUGAGAUCUCAGAUACACAUUUUGAUGUGUUGGAUUCACCAAUUCAAACUCAAUAGUUAUUUUAUAUUGACGACCACAUUUGUAUAGGAAAAAAUCCUCAAGAAAAAUGGACACCAAGAUGUUUGCAGUUAAUAGCAAUUACUUGUGCAAGGGGAACGGGAGAAAAUAGAAAGGAAUACUAAGACUUCGCACAUUAUUAAAAAGUUAAGUGAGGAGACUGGCUUCCUGGAGAAAACAAUUUACAAGGAUGAGAAG
rnacentral:lncRNA from 1 species